UUGCUGUUGACUACCCCAACCGGUCUACUUUUGGAGUUAGCGCAGAGUGCAGUGGUGCCUUACUGUACGAUUCUGCGGCCUUUGCAUUAAACCACUUAUUUCGACUUAGUUCUUUCUGACUGUAUUGUAAUAGUAAAAUAUUAAAUAGUGGGAAGGUAGUCGAAUGGGUUGCUGUGUGACUGCCAUUCAGUAGUACCCGGGUUUGAAACCUGCUGCGACCACGAUUUGUAAUAGAAACGGCUUUUUUCUGUUAUCUGUCGCUCCGCCAGGCAAUGGAGGCAGUAUAAGCUGUUAGUCGUUCCAUUGGUGAAAUGAAAUUAAGACGCCACCACAAAUUGGAAGAGGAGCUCGGCCAAACACCCAACAAAAUAUGUAAGGAUUUUUUUCAUAGGAGUUGUGGUAGCGCUACCUUCAAGAGCCCUUCUGAAACCAAUCUAAGCCUGCUUAUAUCCAAUGCCUCUCGCCGUGGGACUACCGUCAAGUAUCUGGAACAAUAAACAACCAAGCAAAUGACAAAAGCGUGAGUGCCAAGAGUGAUAGAAUAACAGAUAGAAAUGCAAGCCAGAGCGUCACGUGAAUAUAGGUGAGAUAUCAGAAGAGAAUGUCAAAAUAGAUAAGAUUUAAAAACAAAAAUUAAAAACUAGACUAGCUUAAUGUAAAUAAGAAACGUACACUCAACGUCCAAUAGUAUGAAUUAUGUAAU